rnacentral:lncRNA from 10 species
AGGCAAAUUAUGGCCAAAUUAUCAUCGUACUAAUAUUUGUGAUUUAAAAUAUCAGACCAUGGUGGUGUUUUUUUUUUCUUUUUCCAUCAGUGAUUUUCCAACCCAAGCACACAAAUACUUAGAAGCAAAAAAAAUUUUUUUCACUUUGUUAUCCACGGAGCGACAUUUCCAAGGACAGGGAUGGAGAGCAAUAUGUAUACAUGAGACCUUAGUUACAUACACAAAAAUCUCACACCAUCGUGACAAAAAUCUCACACUGUUGUGUGGCCCCUCCAUUGCAUACAUGUGAGAUGAUCACACAUUGAUUAGCCUCUCGCUGUCACCUAUUCAGAACCACACCCACUCACACACAGGGACUGUGGCCUGCUGAGUCUCACCUUCACUGCACAGCUCUUUGUGCCCUUUUGUGGCCUUUUCUCUGAAAUAGUGAUGAUAAUCCUUGCCCUUCUAGCAGGCUUCUCGUGAGAUAGUGUGUGUGCAAGUGAUUUGUAAAAUGUGAAGUAUGACCACACAUACUUCCGGUGCUUUUGCUUCUGUUCUGUCAGAGACUUGAACUGAGGCCCAGCGUACCAGACACAUACAGCGGGAAGCACCCACUGGGAACCAGGUGUUUUGAACUGGAAACACACGUACUCAGUGUCCCCUGCCUGCUCCUGAGCCCAUUGGUCACAGUUACCUGAACACAGGGCCCAGAGUUGGGGCAGUGCCAAGGCCAGGGCCUAGGCUCAGGGGAAGAGAGCUGAGGCCAUUGUGCAAAGUCGCCUGUUGCAUACCAGAGGGGCCAUGAAGAGGAAGGUGACUUCUUACCUCUGGCUCUGAUACUCUUCCUCCGGAAGCCUGCAAAGUGAUGUCAGUCAAAGGGCCCAGCCCUGUACCUCAGCCUCCCUCUGGCCUCCUCCCUCAGGCUCAGCUUCUCUUUGUCUCCUGGCCCUCACCCCUGUCCUGCACUGUCUCUUGGGCCCUCUUGCUCAUUGCCCGCCCCAUUGAUUGAAAGUCUCUCUCAGGAUCUCCAAGGAGUCCCAGGAAAAAUGAUCCGCCAGCCUAUUGAUUCUUCAUUAGAAUUACAUUUUCACGUGUGCUAAAUUGGUUUUAAAAGCUUUUUCUGUUGUUAUUGUCUUGUCAGACCCUGAGGUCCAGG